AGAAGAUCUAAUAUUAACUGACUCCUUAUUUUGUACCAGGAAAGGACGUGUCAACAUAGAGACUUAGGAGGUCAAAGUGAACUUCCUGAUCCCCAACAGGCAGGAGUCCUGCCAAAGCCAAAAUGUAUGUGUCACCUUGGAAGAUGAUGCACCAGGAAGAAUGGGGAGGAGGGAGGAGGAAAAACUGCUGAUGAGGCCGACUCGCUCUUUGGGGCUUAUCAUAUCAGCAAAGCCAGCUCUUUUGAGAUGGAAGAACAAACAUGUUUCUCCUCUGUGAGGAGGUGACAGUGGUGUGCUGGGUGAAGGAGAGCAGCUUUGUCCUGGAAGGAAUCUGACUUGGAAGGAGGCCCAGUUGUCCAGCAGGUACCUGUUUCCUUUCUGCUCUGGCUUCCAAAGGGCUCUCUGCAGAGCCCCUUCCCGGAGCUGCUGGCAGGAGGUCCUUUGCUUGGGGGGUGAUCCAUGGGGACGUCUGGAGCAGUGGGAGCCUAUCUUGGGACCUGGACGGGAGCUGCUCCACCUCAGCACCCGGGCUAUGAGGCAUAGGACUGGGCACCACGAGGGCAUGGGUGAAAGCGGCCUGGAUUUGGAUUUCAGAAGAACUGGGCUUGAGUCCUAGUUCUGCCAUAAACCGUGUGACUCUUAGGCGGUCACUUUAUGUUUUUAUUUCAGUGGCAUUAAAACUGUCAUUACCUACAAUAUGGGAAUUGUAAGGAACUACUGAGAAAACAAAUCUCAAAAUGUUCUGUGCAGACUCUCAAAU
rnacentral:lncRNA from 1 species